CCGGCGAGGCGACGGCGUUCUCGCCGGAUGUACGGAACCGACCCGGGGGACCGCCGGGGCAACCCGGCGCCCCCGAGACGGGGCGAACCACGGUGAAAUGACGGAUCGUCGGCCCCGCGCCGGCGACUCGCCGAAUGAGUUUCUGACCUAUCAACUCGAGACGGCGGGGUAGAGGCCCGCCGCGGUAACGACGGGUAACGGGGAAUCAGGGUUCGAUUCCGGAGAGGGAGCCCGAGAAACGGCUACCACUUCCAAGGAAGGCAGCAGGCGCGCAACUUACCCUAAUCUCGAUUCGAGGAGGUAGUGACAAGAAAUACCGAUGCGGGACCCUACGGGUGCCGCGUUCGGAAUGAGUACGAUUCGAACCACCUAACGAGGAACGAUCGGAGGGCAAGUCUGGUGCCAGCAGCCGCGGUAAUUCCAGCUCCAAUAGCGUACGUUAAAGUUGCUGCAGUUAAAAAGCUCGUAGUUGAACGUUCGGGUUCCGCGGGACGGGGCCGCCCCGCGAGGGACGGCGCCGCCCCGGGGCUCGUGAUAUCUUAUCUCGCCGCCCGUCGCGAGGCGGACGGAGGGAUGGAUGAGGUUACCUGGAAAAAAAUCGGGGC
rnacentral:rRNA from 1 species